rnacentral:misc_RNA from 1 species
UCCCCUUUUACAGGGCAGUCUCCCGUGAGAAUGCAACACGGGACGAGGGUUGCGCUCGUUGCGGGACUUAACCCAACACCUCACGGCACGAGCUGACGACAGCCAUGCAGCACCUGUGCAAGUUGCCGACUUUACGGCUCGUUGCCCUUUCAGGUUCCUACUUCUUGCAUGUCAAGCCUAGGUGAGGUUCUGCGUUUUGCAUCGAAUUAAACCACACGCUCCGCUGCUUGUGCGGGCCCCCGUCAAUUCCUUUGAGUUUCAGCCUUGCGGCCGUACUCCCCAGGCGGAGUGCUUAACGCGUUAGCUUCGGCACAGGGGGGGUCGAUACCCCCUAUACCCAGCACUCAUCGUUUAGGGCGUGGACUAC